UACGGGGGGGGCAAGCGUUGCUCGGAAUUAUUGGGCGUAAAGGGUAGGUAGGUGGUCUCGUUUGUCUGGGGUGAAAGCCUUGAGCUUAACUCAAGAAGUGCCCUAGAAACGGCGAGACUGGAGUCCUGGAGAGGGUCGUGGAAUUCCCGGUGUAGCGGUGAAAUGCGUAGAGAUCGGGAGGAACACCAGAGGCGAAGGCGGCGACCUGGACAGGUACUGACACUCAACUACGAAAGCGUGGGGAGCAAACAGG
rnacentral:rRNA from 1 species